AUGUACACUUGGUAUUCGGCAACACAGUCAAGGGGAUACAAAUUAAGUUUUCAAAGCAAGAUAAACAUUGUGCACUGAAUAUACUUUAACACAGUUGUCAUCUGUGAAUUAGCAGACACUGACGACUCGGUAAGGACAUUAAUUCCAACCUCUUUAUACUGGCAGUAACAGAAGAAAACGACAACACUCUUAAUAGUGUUGAUAAUAAACUCUGGGACAUCCACAGCUUCUCUGGCAGCCAGUGCCAGUGCCUCACCACCAUGUGAGUAAAGAAUUUCUUCCUAAUUAUCCCAGAAAAGAUAUUUCAAACAGUUGUGUUUUGGUGUUUGUUGGGUUUGUUUGUUCAAUAGAUUUGUUUGUUUCUAGAGAAGGAGGACAAAACACAGAAGAGAAAAACUUCAUUCCUCACAAAGAAUCCUCUACAACUUAGGGUGUCUGUCAUAACAGAUAUUCUUAAAUCAAAACAACCUAGAGUUCCACAGUUCAAACUAAAAUAACAGCACUUUAUCCAUCAACUAAACAGACAAAUGCCACUACUGUCUGCUAUUAGUAAGGCCGAAUCUUCCUAACGAGAGCCACCUCUUGCCAAAGUCCUUCUUUGAAGAUCAUGAGGCCCUUAACAAACAAGACUCAUGCUUUGAUGCUUCCUGAUGUCAACUAUCAUAUCUCAUCCCAGUCAUGGUAAGAUUUUUUAAUUAAAGAGUCCUUUCAUUAUCAAGUCAGAAACCUGGAGUCACAGAAAUUACCAUCUCAAUGAAAGACAAACACCUUUAUUUUGGAAAAACGUUGACUGUGUCUAACACAGCACGUACAGAUGCAUUAAACCAGGAGUCUUUAGCCUACCAAUAGCAAAAGCUACAACAUAUGGAAACAUUGCAAACGAGUAAUGAUGAACAUGUAAAAUCAAUACAUAAAGCCACUCCCAAGCUCCAUAUAAGAAAAUGCUACAUUUUAUCUAGUUUUUGUAAAUUUAGCAGUCCUGCAGAUUUGAUGUGUGAAACAUAUCCCAUAAGAUGCACUAAGUACACAUAGUAUAAAUUAGGACUAAACACACAAUUUUGCAAGUGCACAGUGGGCAACAUUUCUGAUGACAGGAGAGCACUUAAAGUAGUCAUAGUCUUAAUUACAGCAAUAUGAAAGAUUAUAAAAAAUAUCUGCAAUAUAUUAUGUUUUCCAGUUAAUCUCAUGCAUUUACAGAACUAUACAUAUAGCCAGUUAGGUAGAUGAUGUUUUAAAAUAGAGAAAGGGGAUGCAUUUCAAUUUAAGAUAAAGAUACUAUGCGCAUUGGCAAGGGACUCAGGAGUAGAAGCAGUUCCUGGCAUUAUAAAAACAGACUUUUCAAGACAGCUUCUCUUUAAUUUGCUUCCUUCUGGAUAGAUUUCCGAAGGUUUUGAUGUUUGGGGAUGGAUGUUGUUCUCAUUUUGGUUUUUGCUAUUCCAAGCCUGGUAGUACAGUGCUGGAUGGAAUUAACCUCAGUUUAAUAUUCUAAAGCAAAGUAUCUAACCUGAGCUAAAUCACAGCUCCCAGAGCCUCCUCAGGGAG
rnacentral:lncRNA from 1 species